UACGUAGGUGGCAAGCGUUAUCCGGAAUUAUUGGGCGUAAAGCGCGCGCAGGCGGUUUCUUAAGUCUGAUGUGAAAGCCCACGGCUCAACCGUGGAGGGUCAUUGGAAACUGGGGAACUUGAGUGCAGAAGAGAAAAGCGGAAUUCCACGUGUAGCGGUGUAAUGCGUAGAGAUGUGGAGGAACACCAGUGGCGAAGGCGGCUUUUUGGUCUGUAACUGACGCUGAGGCGCGAAAGCGUGGGGAGCAAACAGG
rnacentral:rRNA from 1 species